rnacentral:rRNA from 1 species
UACGUAGGGGGCAAGCGUUGUCCGGAUUUAUUGGGCGUAAAGAGCGUGUAGGCGGCCAUGCAGGUCAGCUGUGAAAACUCGAGGCUCAACCUCGAGACGUCGGUUGAAACCGUAUGGCUAGAGUCCGGAAGAGGAGAGUGGAAUUCCCGGUGUAGCGGUGAAAUGCGUAGAUAUUGGGAAGAACACCGGUGGCGAAGGCGGCGACCUGGUCCGAUACUGACGCUGAGGCGCGAAAGCGUGGGGAGCAAACAGG